rnacentral:rRNA from 1 species
UGGGGAAUAUUGGACAAUGGGCGAAAGCCUGAUCCAGCCAUGCCGCGUGUGUGAAGAAGGUCUUCGGAUUGUAAAGCACUUUAAGUUGGGAGGAAGGGCAGUAAGCGAAUACCUUGCUGUUUUGACGUUACCGACAGAAUAAGCACCGGCUAACUCUGUGCCAGCAGCCGCGGUAAUACAGAGGGUGCAAGCGUUAAUCGGAAUUACUGGGCGUAAAGCGCGCGUAGGUGGUUCGUUAAGUUGAAUGUGAAAGCCCCGGGCUCAACCUGGGAACUUCAUCCAAAACUGGCGAGCUAGAGUAGGGCAGAGGGUGGUGGAAUUUCCUGUGUAGCGGUGAAAUGCGUAGAUAUAGGAAGGAACACCAGUGGCGAAGGCGACCACCUGGGCUCAUACUGACACUGAGGUGCGAAAGCGUGGGGAGCAAACAGG